GUAGCUCAGUUGGGUGAACGCGGGGGUUUCCGGCGUAUACGCCGGCCGCGUUCACGCCUCGCGGAUACCGCCGCGAGGCCGGGGCCCGGAGGGCGAGCAAGCGCCUCCUAAGCGCUAGGUCGCAGGUUCGACUCCUGCUCGGGGCGCCA
rnacentral:tRNA from 1 species